rnacentral:tRNA from 1 species
GCAGACAUGGUGUAAUUGGCAGCAUGAGAUCCUUCCAAGUUCUGGGUUCGGGUUCAAAUCCCGAUGUCUGCUCUA